CUCUCUAGGUUUGUGCAAUUGGUUUUUAAUGCCCAGCGGCAUGCACUGCAGGCUGUUGUGCUUAAUAAACAUACAUUUUGUCGCGAAAUUCCGGCUACAAGGAAUUGAUUUUCAUUGCUUUUUGCCCUCAUUUUCUUUUUUAAUCUUUUUAUAAAAUUGAAAGGAUUUCUUCUAUUUAUUUCUGCUGUCCACUUACGACGGUGAUUUGGUUGACUAGGAAAACUAUACUUGAUGAAUAUCCAAUACCAAACUAUCUUAAUCUACAUAUUGAAACUGCAUUAAACUUUGGUAAGCUUACCUUUGCCUAUUCUGAGUUACUUGAAAGGUGAUGUUCCCUUCCCUCUCUUCUGAUUGUUGAUACCGUUGUUUCACUUUAAGGAUGCUUCUUUACCCAGCCAUUAUGAUAUUUGGACUGCUGUCUAUUGUUUCAAAUAGGUUUUAGCAUUGUCAUUCUAGCCUUUUUUAAACACUCACAUAUGAUUUGUCCCAAAGAAUCAACCUUUAAAUAAAAGUUUUGCUUCCACUCAUGAAAGCUAUACGUAUCUUUCAGGAAGCUCCAUACCAAUUUAACUUUAUACAGCAUUCGCUGUUUAUGUGCACGCUAUGUGGAAAGAUAGAAUAAAGGGGCUUUUGUUAGCUUUUCUCUCCGAAAAAAAUAGCUCCCUUUGCUGUUGAAAAAGAUACUCACAAAGGGGAAGUUUCAACAUCUUCCUUCAAUUUCCGUACACCAAGAAAUUUCGCUUUUAUGUUAAACAACUAUAUUUUGUAGUCAUCAUCCAUAAUCUACUCCCAAAACACUUCAGUAGCUCUACUUUACAUCGCUUGCAAACUUAUAUGUUCUAUGAUAAUCAAAGUGCAACAACCUCCACAAUAACCAGCCUUCAAUUUGAUUUUCUGUUCCUAGGUUAAUCGGAAACAGAUUGCCAUGCUACACAUAAACCUUUUCUGUAGUUCAAUCAUUUGGUGAAAAAAAUACCACGAAAGCAACUUAAACUGUCCAAAGGACAGGUGCAUUUGCUAGUUCUAACAAUACAUUAGACAGUUUAUAUGUUACAGCUGUUGACCCUAUUAACCACCAACACAGAAGCAAUGAAGAGUGAACAUGGAACAGUGGGAGGGGGAAAACAUCUUGAAUAACAAUGGCAAUUUCUGAUUUGAUAGAAACAAAAAGCAGAACUACAACAAAGAUGAGCACCUUGAUAUCCCUAUAACAGCAUUUUUAUUUAUUUAUUUUCUAGGCAGAAGUUAAGGUAGUGCUCUUGACCCUUUUACAAUACCACUGAGGUUGGUAGGGUAGAGAGGUCUCCUCACCUGAAUAUUUGCAACAGUGGACUCCACUAAAGAUACUCACGGUGUCAGGUGGUACUUUUAGUCUAUGACACAAGUAAGCCAUAGUAGGAUUUGAUAUUAAAACAAACAGCUGGAGCCCAAUGUUCUUACGGUUCUACUAAUCUGUUGUUCUGGAUUAGAACUAUGAGUCUGAAAGGAUGAAAUGCAAAGUUGAGUUCAGAAUGUGCCAAGUUGGAACAAAUACCACCAGGCAUUCUGGCUGAUGCUCUAAUGACAAUACAUUGUCUUGAUAUCUGUAGGAAAAAUAAACUUUAAUAUAUAUAUAGCUGCAGGCAUGGUUGUGUGGUUAAGAAGCUCGCUUUACAACCAUAUGAUUUCAGGUUCAGGCCCACUGCAGGUGUCUUCUAUUAUAGCCCUGGACUAGCAAAAACUUUGUGAGUUAAUUUGGUUGACAGAAAUUGUGUGGAAUCCCUUUGUGUGUGUGUGUUUCUUUCUCUCUCUCUUUCCUUUGUUCUGGCACCACUUGACCUAGACAACUGGUAUUGGUUUGUCCCUAUAAUCUAGAAGUUUGACAAAAGACUGAUAAAAAAAGUGCUAGACUUUAAAAAAAUAAGUACUGGGGUCAAUUUAUUCAACUAAAACCCUUCAAGUUGGUGCCCCAGCUUGGCCACAACCCAGAGACUGAAACAAAUAAAAUGAGUAGUUUUAAAUUAGGUGGAUUAUUAGGGAUCAUAAGAAACAUCAUUUAGUGCCAUAAUGUCUAGCUCCUCCAAAGGGGAGAGAUACAGACUAUCACCCAUUAGCAGAGACAGUGAUACUGAUUAUCUCCCCAAAUAAUCCAACAGCUGUGCAGACUGUCAGUCAAGUGAACAUGUUUCUUCACCAAAAUUGGAUUUGAUCCAAUGAGGAAGUGUCUUUGGUGUUGUUUCACCUGCUUGAAAAAGUUACCAAAUUCCCAUCAACUCGCUUUGUACCAUUUUAUAAAAUGCAUUGGAUAAUAUGUACAUGGAUAUGCAAGAUGAUGGAACAGUCACAGGAGCAUCUUUCAUCAUCAUCGUUUAACCUGGAUUUGGUAUAAUGAAUCAUUUAAAAUAGUAAGUAGAUUUUAUCCAUCAUUUGAUUUAGCAUCCCUACCUGGCCAUUAGGUUCUUUUAGUCAAGCCCUCUCUAUUUGGGGCAGGUCCCCUGUGUAAGAAUAACUCCCUCCUUUGAGUCUCACCAGCUUUGUAAAGGGGCAUAAGCACUACUCUUUUUCCUCACUAAACAAUAAUGUGUGUUGUUUAGUUUGAUAGUAGCCACUUGGUAAUGUAGGUGUAAAAAUGCUAGUAGAGUGAAAUAGGGAUGGUGGUGGUAUAACAUUGAUGAUGGUUAUGGAGUAGUGAUUACUAUUAAACAUGGGUUUAAAGAUGUCAGGUGCAGAACAAACCUGACAGAUACUCCUCUCUCUCCUUCCUGUCACAAUAAGAAGACAACUCUGAAUAUUUAGAAAAAAAUUUAUUUUGGACACAUUGUCCUUAUUUUGAUACACACACACUGUACAAUAUGCUGUAUACAUAUGCACAUACUAAACAUGCUGCACACAUACACACUGCAGAAAUCAUUGGUGAUACAAAUUUCAGUUGUUUGGCCAAACUCACACACACUCUGCAAAGAGAUGCGGUCUACACCUACAGGUACAUCCUACUAGACAUGCCAAUAGCUCAUACACACACACGCACAAACAUAGCAAUACAUUUAUGGUUUUUAGUAUGUUAUAUACAUCAGAUGAGGUUUCUUUUAUAUACACUGCUGUUUUUUUUUUACAUAUUUUUGAAAAAGUGUCAAUGCUUACAACUAAUUUCACCCUUUCACUUCCAAUAACUGAGGCUGGGACUUCUACCUAGUUAAAAUUGUCAGUUAUAUGCACAUACAUCGUACUUACAUAAAACACUUGAACUAGCAAGGAAACCACUAUGGUCAUUUGGACUACAAGAAACAACAGCCUAAUGACCAUUAAAUCACAUCAUACCAACUUUAAGAAGAUAUUUAAUACAUUGGAUAAUGUAUGUAGUAUUAGAUGUGUGUAUGUGUAGUGCUUGUAAAUAGAAAAAAAUAGAUGGAAUGGUCAUAUCAGGAAUGCUUUUGAUCACAAGUUUGCUCUGUCUGGUCCAGCUUGGGGUCAAAAUGAGGACAACACCACCACACCAUGUAUAUGUAAAAAAAUGACAUACAUGAACACAAACACAGAUUCAUAAAUACAUGAAUAUACAUAGAUAUAGGUGUGUCUAUGUGGUUUGGGGUUCUAUGCCACUGUAUGAUACCUUGAGGAAGUGCCUUAUAUGGCUUCAACUAAAUGCUCACAAGAGUAAAACUGGUACUUGGAAACUGUAUAGAAGCCUGUUGUGUGUGCAUGAAUUUUUAUAUACUGCAUCUUUGCAUGACAAUCUGAGCAACAAUGAUGUCAUCUUUGCAUUCCUUGUAAACAAUAUGUCAAGAAUCAGUGGAAAAUAAAGUCACUUUCUUGAAAAGCAGUGUAAGGGUGGCAACAGAAAGGAUGUCCAACCACAAAGCACUGCUUCAAUAAGCCUCCAUCCAACUGAAGCCCACAUGGAAAAAUGAAUGUAAAAGAAGUUAAUAGACAAGUAGACAUAAAUAUGCACACACACAUUACAAUUGCAGCAAGUCAUAUAACAUGCUAGAAAUAGCAGUCAAAUCUUACUAUAUUGUCUUUAAAAAGAUAUUGGAUAAUGUAGUCAUAGAUACACUAUACUUGGGAAAAGACAAGAUGUUUAUAGCUGGAUCAAGACUGAUCUACAGUUUAGCAAUAAUCAAAACAGUUUUCCAAUCACAGUGUGUACUUCAACAGUAAUGUUUCCAUUGUGCUGAAUCUUCCUGUCCUCCACUACUCAACAUGACCCCUCCAUAAGUAUAUUGCCUGAUGAUAAAACUAUCACAUUUAAUGCCGUUUCAUCUCAUACAAUAGAGCUCUGUUCUGCUCCAUUUGUCUCCAGUGUAUCACGACUGACUUAGGGCUAAACCACAAUGAGCAGACCCAGACCAACCAUUAAGUAAAAUAAUCAUGUGCUUUCAACAUCAAAAGUUUUUCCUGGAUUUACAGAAAUUAAUAAAAAAAAGUCUAAAAGAUUUGUAUUUU